rnacentral:rRNA from 1 species
UGGGGAAUAUUGGACAAUGGGCGAAAGCCUGAUCCAGCCAUGCCGCGUGUGUGAAGAAGGUCUUCGGAUUGUAAAGCACUUUAAGUUGGGAGGAAGGGUUGUAGAUUAAUACUCUGCAAUUUUGACGUUACCGACAGAAUAAGCACCGGCUAACUCUGUGCCAGCAGCCGCGGUAAUACAGAGGGUGCAAGCGUUAAUCGGAAUUACUGGGCGUAAAGCGCGCGUAGGUGGUUAGUUAAGUUGGAUGUGAAAUCCCCGGGCUCAACCUGGGAACUGCAUUCAAAACUGACUGACUAGAGUAUGGUAGAGGGUGGUGGAAUUUCCUGUGUAGCGGUGAAAUGGGUAGAUAUAGGAAGGAACACCAGUGGCGAAGGCGACCACCUGGACUGAUACUGACACUGAGGUGCGAAAGCGUGGGGAGCAAACA